rnacentral:rRNA from 1 species
AGAGUUUGAUCCUGGCUCAGAUUGAACGCUGGCGGCAGGCCUAACACAUGCAAGUCGAGCGCGAAAGGCCUUCGGGCUGAGUAGAGCGGCGGACGGGUGAGUAACGCGUAGGAAUCUACCUGGUAGUGGGGGACAACUUGGGGAAACUCAAGCUAAUACCGCAUACGCCCUAUGGGGGAAAGCGGGGGACCUUCGGGCCUCGCGCUAUCAGAUGAGCCUGCGUAGGAUUAGCUAGUUGGUGAGGUAAAGGCUCACCAAGGCGACGAUCCUUAGCUGGUC